GGGAGAAAGAAUCAACGGGCUCCGCACUGUCAGCAUGGAGCCUGAGGCAGGGCUCAAACUCACGAACCUGAGCCGAUAUCAAGAGUCCGACCCUUAACCAAUGAAGCCACCCAGGCACCGUUGGUCCACAGCAGUGUCACUUUUAACUGAACUUGAAUUCAACUAAGAAGCCAAAGAGUCGCUCAGUUAAAUGUGUCUUCACAGCAAGGAUAUCUGAAUAACGCAAAAUGUUUUGAGUCAACGUUUCCUGCAUUUGACUGGAUAUAUCUUCUUGGGGUGCAGCAUUUUUGAACCCUAGGAAUCUGCUUGUGCCGUAGGUUUCUUCAGUCUCUGUGAAGAAUAUGAUGGAUGUAGAGAGGUGUUUCUACCUUGAAGGAUUUUCUUCUUUUUUUCCAAAGCUACCCACCUCACCUGUCCACUAUCUCAGAACCGGCUAACAACAGCAAGAAUUCAUAGCAUCUUGUCAGCUCACCUUCAGUACCUUUUCUCAGGCUAUGGAUGAGCUUUCAGCAGAGGCCUGGGUGCUAGGCUGGAUGUCCCAGAGAGGCUGGAAGCUGACUGAGGUUCAUGCGUUCUGAAAGGGCCUCCAUCUGACCUGCAAGCCCAGGGGAGGUCUAGCGAUGGCCAGGCGAUGAUUGUAGCCAUCUACCUCUAUCUAGAAAGUACUGGGGUCUGUCCUCACCCUUGCUACUACUGCCAAAAACAAACAAAAACCAACCACCUCUGUUUUAUGUGCUUGUGGAUAAAAAAAUAAACAUCCUCACUAAGCUGGAUACCCAUUGGACCACUGAAAAAGACCCGUAACAAAUGGUGCAGACCCCCAACAGGACUGAUGAUUUUUAAUGGAUCAAAUUCUUUCUUAGCUGUUGGAUCGGACACAGCUUUCUCACUAAAGUGCUAUCAGCCACAUUUUGCACAAUCGGAGGCUGCUGGUUCCCAAAGCCUGAAAAUCAUUGCCAAGGGGCUGUCGGGUAGAGGAGCAGGAAGGGGACGGAAGGAGGUUGUUUUGCAUUAAAAUAAAUAAGAGCCCUGAAUGUUAUAUGUAAGUGAUGAAUCAUUGAAUUCUAUUCCUGAAAUUAUUAUUAUACUCUA
rnacentral:lncRNA from 1 species